rnacentral:sRNA from 1 species
GCAGGGAAAUACAUUCGGUG